rnacentral:tRNA from 1 species
ACUCCAGUGGCCUCAUGCAUAAGGCAUUGGCUUUCUAAGCCAGAGAGUGUGGGUUUAAGUCCCAUCUGGGGUG